AUAGUGUUCGCUGCCCUCGCGGGUAGCAAGCCUCACCCGUGUAUAUUAUAUCUUUGUUGCUUUGGCACGCCGCCUUCGGGCACUGGCUUCGGCUGGCUCGUGUGUGUCAGAGGCCUUAAAACUCUGAAUGUUAGUGUCGUCUGAGUACUAUUUAAUAGUUAAAACUUUCAACAACGGAUCUCUUGGUUCUGGCAUCGAUGAAGAACGCAGCGAAAUGCGAUAAUUAAUGUGAAUUGCAGAAUUUAGUGAAUCAUCGAAUCUUUGAACGCACAUUGCGCCCCUUGGUAUUCCGGGGGGCAUGCCUGUUCGAGCGUCAUUUCAACCCUCAAGCUCUGCUUGGUCUUGGGCCGCGCCGGCAACGGCGGGCCUCAAAAACAGUGGCGGCGCCAUCGUGUCCCUCAGCGUAGUAAUUCUUCUCGCUGUUGGGCCCCGGUGGCCGCUGGCCAGCAACCCCCAAUUUUCUAUGGUUGACCUCGGAUCAGGUAGGGAUACCCGCUGAACUUAA
rnacentral:rRNA from 1 species